rnacentral:ncRNA from 1 species
CCUCCCAUGUUCAGAAACGAGCAUGGAGUAAGAGAUCACUCUUCAACAUCCUUUGAAUUGCUGGAAUUUCCUAAAGCUCAUUCAACCACAACGUAAAAGCGAAUAGCUUUAAGCGUGAAGGUGACGAAAGUAGAAAAAAUGAAUGAGAUGGCAUAUGGUUAAAUCCUAAGUGCUAGGACAAUGGAUCAUCAGCAGGUAAGCCUCGAAUAGAGGAAACUUCAACGACUAUCCUAAAUAGGAGUAGGCUAUAAGCGAUUGAUAGCCGAAGCGGAGGAUACCCUUCUACUUUAUAAAAGGGUAAUGAUAUAGUCUGCACUCAUAUGAAAAUAUGAG